GCAUAUCAAUAAGCGGAGGAAAAGAAACCAACAGGGAUUGCCCCAGUAACGGCGAGUGAAGCGGCAACAGCUCAAAUUUGAAAUCUGGCCCCCCAGGCCCGAGUUGUAAUUUGCAGAGGAUGCUUUGGGCGCGGCGCCUUCCGAGUUCCCUGGAACGGGACGCCACAGAGGGUGAGAGCCCCGUCUGGUUGGAUGCCUAGCCUAUGUAAAGCUCCUUCGACGAGUCGAGUAGUUUGGGAAUGCUGCUCUAAACGGGAGGUAUAUGUCUUCUAAAGCUAAAUAUUGGCCAGAGACCGAUAGCGCACAAGUAGAGUGAUCGAAAGAUGAAAAGCACUUUGAAAAGAGGGUUAAAUAGUACGUGAAAUUGUUGAAAGGGAAGCGCUUACGACCAGACUUGGGCCCGGCGGAUCACCCGGCGUUCUUCGCCGGGGCACUCCGCCGGCCCAGGCCAGCAUCGGUUUGCCGCGGGGGAUAAAGGCGGCGGGAACGUAGCUCCCUCGGGAGUGUUAUAGCCCGCCGCGUAAUACCCUGCGGCGGACCGAGGACCGCGCAUCUGCAAGGAUGCUGGCGUAAUGGUCGUCAGCGACCCGUCUUGAAACACGGACCAAGGAGUCGUCUUCGUAUGCGAGUGUUCGGGUGGAAAACCCCUACGCGUAAUGAAAGUGAACGCAGGUGGGAGCUUUGGCGCACCAUCGACCGAUCCUGAUGUUCUCGGAUGGAUUUGAGUAAGAGCAUACGGGGCCGGACCCGAAAGAAGGUGAACUAUGCCUGUAUAGGGUGAAGCCAGAGGAAACUCUGGUGGAGGCUCGCAGCGGUUCUGACGUGCAAAUCGAUCGUCAAAUAUGGGCAUGGGGGCGAAAGACUAAUCGAACCUUCUAGUAGCUGGUUUCCGCCGA
rnacentral:rRNA from 1 species